UACGUAGGGGGCGAGCGUUGUCCGGAAUCAUGGGGCGUAAAGCGCGUGUAGGCGGCCCGGUAAGUCCGCUGUGAAAGUCCAGGGCUCAACCCUGGGAUGCCGGUGGAUACUGUCGGGCUCGAGUCCGGAAGAGGCGAGUGGAAUUCCUGGUGUAGCGGUGAAAUGCGCAGAUAUCAGGAGGAACACCAAUGGCGAAGGCAGCUCGCUGGGACGUGACUGACGCUGAGACGCGAAAGCGUGGGGAGCAAACAGG
rnacentral:rRNA from 1 species